AGUAACAUGUGGGUAUCUGCCCUUUGGCCUGGAAUAACACGAGGAAACUUGUGCUAAUACCGGAUAAGUCUUUACGGAGAAAGCUUUAUGCACCAUUGGAUGAGCCCGCACUUGAUUAGUUUGUUGGUGGGGUAAUGGCCUACCAAGACUGUGAUCAAUAGCUGAUUUGAGAGGAUGAUCAGCCACAUUGGGACUGAGACACGGCCCAAACUCCUACGGGAGGCAGCAGUGGGGAAUCUUGCACAAUGGAGGAAACUCUGAUGCAGCGAUGCCGCGUGAGUGAAGAAGGCCUUUGGGUUGUAAAGCUCUUUCGUCGGGGAAGAAAAUGACUGUACCCGAAUAAGAAGGUCCGGCUAACUUCGUGCCAGCAGCCGCGGUAAUACGAAGGGACCUAGCGUAGUUCGGAAUUACUGGGCUUAAAGAGUUCGUAGGUGGUUGAAAAAGUUGGUGGUGAAAUCCCAGAGCUUAACUCUGGAACUGCCAUCAAAACUUUUCAGCUAGAGUAUGAUAGAGGAAAGCAGAAUUUCUAGUGUAGAGGUGAAAUUCGUAGAUAUUAGAAAGAAUACCAAUUGCGAAGGCAGCUUUCUGGAUCAUUACUGACACUGAGGAACGAAAGUAUGGGUAGCGAAGAGGAUUAGAUACCCUCGUAGUCCAUACCGUAAACGAUGUGUGUUAGACGUUGGAAAUUUAUUUUCAGUGUA
rnacentral:rRNA from 1 species